rnacentral:rRNA from 1 species
GAUACUUUAAGUAUCCUAAAGGGUUGUCGUAGACUACGACGUUGAUAGGCAGGGUGUGUAAGCGUUGUGAGGCGUUGAGCUAACCUGUACUAAUUGCCCGUGAGGCUUAACCAUACAACACCCAAGGGGUUU